CAGGUUCCCGCACGAUCAUUGAAGUUAAGCAACGUCGAGCCUGGUCAGUACCAAGAUGGGUGACCGCUUGGGAAUACCAGGUGCUG